rnacentral:rRNA from 1 species
AUUGAACGCUGGCGGCAUGCCUUACACAUGCAAGUCGAACGGCAGCACGGGUGCUUGCACCUGGUGGCGAGUGGCGAACGGGUGAGUAAUACAUCGGAACGUACCUUAUCGUGGGGGAUAACGCAGCGAAAGCUGUGCUAAUACCGCAUACGCCCUGAGGGGGAAAGCGGGGGAUCGAAAGACCUCGCGCGAUUAGAGCGGCCGAUGCCUGAUUAGCUUGUUGGUGGGGUAAAAGCCCACCAAGGCGACGAUCAGUAGCUGGUCUGAGAGGACGAUCAGCCACACUGGGAAUGAGACACGGGCCAGACUCCUACGGGAGGCAGCAGUGGGGAAUUUUGGACAAUGGGGGCAACCCUGAUCCAGCAAUGCCGCGUGAGUGAAGAAGGCCUUCGGGUUGUAAAGCUCUUUUGUCAGGGAAGAAACACCGGCUCUAACACAGUCCGGGAAUGACGGUACCUGAAGAAUAAGCACCGGCUAACUACGUGCCAGCCGCCGCGGUAA